rnacentral:rRNA from 1 species
UACGAAGGGGGCUAGCGUUGCUUGGAAUCACUGGGCGUAAAGGGUGCGUAGGCGGGUCUUUAAGUCAGGGGUGAAAUCCUGGAGCUCAACUCCAGAACUGCCUUUGAUACUGAGGAUCUUGAGUUCGGGAGAGGUGAGUGGAACUGCGAGUGUAGAGGUGAAAUUCGUAGAUAUUCGCAAGAACACCAGUGGCGAAGGCGGCUCACUGGCCCGAUACUGGCGCUGAGGCACGAAAGCGUGGGGAGCAAACAGG